rnacentral:rRNA from 1 species
UACGGAGGGUGCGAGCGUUAAUCGGAAUUACUGGGCGUAAAGCGCACGCAGGCGGUCUGUUAAGCGAGAUGUGAAAGCCCCGGGCUCAACCUGGGAGGGUCAUUUCGAACUGGCAGACUAGAGUUUUGAAGAGGGGAGUGGAAUUCCAGGUGUAGCGGUGAAAUGCGUAGAUAUCUGGAGGAACAUCAGUGGCGAAGGCGACUCCCUGGUCAAUAACUGACGCUCAUGUGCGAAAGUGUGGGUAGCGAACAGG